GUACUAAUUUUGUAUACAAUCUUAUAAUUUCGGCCCCACAAGAUGAUAUUCUUAUGUAUAAACUUAGAAUCAUGUUCAAGUUGUUCUGGAAGCUGAUUAAUUUCGUGGAAAUUUAUUUUUGCUAACCAUUUUAAUCAACUGCUCCUUUACUAUCUACCAUGAUAUUUUUGUCCUUUACAAUAAUGGCACGUUUACUAUACAGUAAUCAGAAUCGGAAUAAAUUAAUGGAGAAAUGUAACGGAAUAAAUGAAAAAUAAUCGGAAUCAAUAUUUGUAAUAUGUUGUUUACUAAAAUUUUUUAGAAAUGGAAUAGUUGUGAUUUAUCUUGUUUACUUUAUUAGGAAACGUAAUCGGAAUGCUUAAAUUGACUAAAUUGCCCUUUUGAGUUAAACUAUAUUAUAUGGUAGUUAUUUUGCAAGACAUAUUUUAAAGGACAAAAUUGUCAUUAUAUAUUUAAUAUUAAAAAAUAAAAUAAAAAUAAUAAAAAUCCAUUACCCUUAAUGGCAUUCCUUACAAAAUUGGUGGGAGAAGUUCUCCCUUUCUUUUCUCCCUUAUUUAAUCAACUUCUCCCUUUCCUAAUUUUAAUAAUGCAAGUAAACAAAUGUAAGGGAAUGAUUACCUUACUAUUGUUAAAUUUCCUCCCUUCUAAUAACUAAUGUCACUUCUACCCAGGUUUUUGAAGGAACAUCUGGCAUCGACAACAAGUUUACAACUGUGCAGUUUACUGGAGAGGUUCUAAAAACUCCAGUCUCCUUGGAUAUGCUUGGAUGCAUUUUCAAUGGUUCUGGAAAACCUAUUGAUAAUGGCCCCAAUGGAGAAUUUCCACUCCUAUAAAAAGAGAAAGUUUGGGAUACAAGGGAGUGACUAUUUUUUGCAUGGGCCAAAAUCAAUUAGUACAAAUUACAUUAACAGUUGUGCAUCUUAUUAUCUUUUCAUGAAAAGUGAGAUAUAUUUUGUAUAAAAUAUUGACUGAAUUGAAUAUAAAAAUGACAGUGAAUAUAUAUGAAUAUAUGUAUAUAAAAAGUUUUCUUAAGCUAUAUGAAU